CCUACGGGAGGCAGCAGUGAGGAAUAUUGGGCAAUGGACGAGAGUCUGAACCAGCCAAGCAGCGUGAAGGAUGACUGCCCUCUGGGUUGUAAACUUCUUUUUUAUGGGAGUAAAAGGUUCCACGUGUGUGUUUUUGUAUUUACCGUAUGAAUAAGGAUCGGCUAACUCCGUGCCAGCAGCCGCGGUAAUACGGAGGAUCCGAGCGUUAGCCGGAUUUAUUGGGUUUAAAGGGAGCGUAGGUGGUUUGUUAAGUCAGUUGUGAAAGUUUGAGGCUCAACCGUAGAAUUGCAGUUGAUACUGGUCGUCUUGAGUGCAGUAGAGGUGGGCGGAAUUCGUGGUGUAGCGGUGAAAUGCUUAGAUAUCACGAAGAACACCGAUUGCGAAGGCAGCUCACUGGGCUGCAACUGACGCUGAGGCUCGAAAGUGUGGGUAGCAAACAGGAUUAGAUACCCUAGUAGUC
rnacentral:rRNA from 1 species